CCGGUACCGGUCCUCUCAGCGGCGCCGUUUAGUAGAAAAGGAACAAGGAACGGAGCUCCCCGGCUUGACACCACAGGGACGUCAGGUGACUCCCGGCCGCUGCCAAACCCCCGCCCACCAACAUGGCAGUCACGUGUCACCCACAGUGAUGUGACACAUUACCGCCGCAGGAAGUCAUUGGUUGCAGCGGUGACAUGACGUAGAUGGUCACGUUACAUGAAGGCACCAGCGAUGCACGAGGGGGAGCAAUGGAGCUGGAACGCAGCAGACAAGUAUGCUCACCACAUUCUUUCCACAUAAGAAUGGAGGACCACCUUGAAGAGGAAGGUGAUGAGUCUGCACCACACCAUUCGAGCACCUGUGAGGAGGAAAGUGAAGACUACAUCUGGCCCACCUGCAGAAAGUGCGGAGACAUCCACAACAUCAAAAGCCAUGCGUUCCUCUACCUCUGGACAGGGUCGUCGUCCCCCACUUUGUCCAUAAGCAGCUGGCCCAGAAGACGCCCCAUGUAGGAGGACCAUUUGGACCAUUUUGCAAAAAGUCUGGAGCAUCAUUUGAGGAGUGUGCCACAACACCUUUUGCUGAGAACUGAGGCGGCUCUUGGCAUUGUUGUGGAUGCUGCCAUUCCUCCUCAUGAUCCGUCAGACAUAUUUUUUGCCCUGGAAAAUUGGAGAUCAUAUGGGCACAUGUCUGGCCCCCAGCCAAUUUCCCAGGUUCCACAGGGGCCGCCACAAUACUUAUGAUUACU